rnacentral:rRNA from 1 species
GACGAACGCUGGCGGCGUGCCUAAUACAUGCAAGUAGAACGCUGAAGGAGGAGCUUGCUCUUCUGGAUGAGUUGCGAACGGGUGAGUAACGCGUAGGUAACCUGCCUGGUAGCGGGGGAUAACUAUUGGAAACGAUAGCUAAUACCGCAUAAGAGUAGAUGUUGCAUGACAUUUGCUUAAAAGGUGCAAUUGCAUCACUACCAGAUGGACCUGCGUUGUAUUAGCUAGUUGGUGGGGUAACGGCUCACCAAGGCGACGAUACAUAGCCGACCUGGGAGGGUGAUCGGCCACACUGGGACUGAGACACGGCCCAGACUCCUACGGGAGGCAGCAGUAGGGAAUCUUCGGCAAUGGACGGAAGUCUGACCGAGCAACGCCGCGUGAGGGAAGAAGGUUUUCGGAUCGUAAAGCUCUGUUGUAAGAGAAGAACGAGUGUGAGAGUGGAAAGUUCACACUGUGACGGUAUCUUACCAGAAAGGGACGGCUAACUACGUG